CCUACGGGAGGCUGCAGUGGGGAAUAUUGGGCAAUGGGCGCAAGCCUGACCCAGCAACGCCGCGUGAAGGAAGAAGGCUUUCGGGUUGUAAACUUCUUUUGUCAGGGAAGAGUAGAAGACGGUACCUGACGAAUAAGCCACGGCUAACUACGUGCCAGCAGCCGCGGUUAUACGGAGGGGGCAAGCGCUGUCCGGAUGCACUGGGUGUAAAGGGCGUGUAGCCGGGUUGACAAGUCAGAUGUGAAAUCCUGCGGCUUAACCGCAGAACUGCAUUUGAAACUGUUGAUCUUGAGUACUGGAGAGGCAGACGGAAUUCCUAGUGUAGCGGUGAAAUGCGUAGAGAUUAGGAGGAACACCAGUGGCGAAGGCGGUCUGCUGGACAGCAACUGACGGUGAGGCGCGAAAGCGUGGGGAGCAAACAGGAUUAGAUACCCUUGUAGUC
rnacentral:rRNA from 1 species